rnacentral:misc_RNA from 1 species
GGACCUCACCGCACGUGUACUCACAUCCACGAGGCCUGACAGUGCGAGCACGGUAGCGCUUCUUGUGUUCCUUUCAUCAGCUUAGUUUUUGGAACUCACAUACUGUGCGCAGUGCGCUCCGCCUUGCCAUGCCGCCGCGCACCUCGACCCUUGUGUACGAAGGCGAACCAUACUGGAUGAUGUGCUUGCGUGAGUACGUCAUCCCUGGUGUCGUGUUCAUCGUUAUGCUGCACUACCUUAUUGCCCAUGUCUUUCUGCCAAUGCGUCGCAUUAUCCGACCAACUCGUCAGUCUCCUGAGGAAGUAACGGGCGCACAAGACGGCGGCGAAGCGGCCAGCAGUGAUCAUGUUUCGGCGCGAUCCUGCUCAAAGGCGAAGAAGGGAGCGUAGCGUGCAAUGGAUGUCGCGUGCACACGCUCGCGUUUCUCACUGUCAUGCCGUGCGUAUCGACCGAGGAAAAGUAGAAGAGCGCCGCCGUGUCGAGGGCGUGAUGCUGUCCGUCGGUGUGGCGAUGUGUGUAUAUGUGUGUUCCUUGACAUUUGACAUCACAGCCUCGUCACCGUGGCGUCUCUGGCGGAUUCUGCUUCUUCGCACCUCGCGCUUCCCUCCGUACCUGAGCCUUGGGAAAGGCUCGCGCCGCCACAGCCACAGCCGUUCAUCUGAUGCGCAGACAAUGCGGAGAAUCACAUUCCCACGAACUGGGCAGGCCCACGAGAGCGAGGGAGGGGGGAGGGCAGGGAGGUGUGCCAGGUAGCGAUGCAUUAAAUAGCGUGCGCAUGGCUCUCUAAGGGAACACACCGGAUCGUUAGCAUGGCACAGUCAGUGUCCCCCUCCGGCUUGCUCUGUCGGUCUGUCUAUGUCGACUGCAACGCCGUUGUGGCACCGCUCUCAUCUUGCUUUUAUUUCCUUCAUGCUCCGCAGCGUCUCAUCUUAAGGAAUGAAGCGCAGUGCGUCGCUCGCUCUUGG